rnacentral:rRNA from 1 species
UACGUAGGGGGCAAGCGUUGUCCGGAUUUAUUGGGCGUAAAGGGCGCGUAGGCGGCGUUUUAAGUCGGGGGUGAAAGCCUGUGGCUCAACCACAGAAUGGCCUUCGAUACUGGGACGCUUGAGUAUGGUAGAGGUUGGUGGAACUGCGAGUGUAGAGGUGAAAUUCGUAGAUAUUCGCAAGAACACCGGUGGCGAAGGCGGCCAACUGGACCAUUACUGACGCUGAGGCGCGAAAGCGUGGGGAGCAAACAGG